rnacentral:rRNA from 1 species
UACGUAGGGGGCUAGCGUUGUCCGGAAUCAUUGGGCGUAAAGCGCGCGUAGGCGGCCCGGUAAGUCCGCUGUGAAAGUCCAGGGCUCAACCCUGGAAAGCCGGUGGAUACUGCCGGGCUAGAGUCCGGGAGAGGCGAGUGGAAUUCCUGGUGUAGCGGUGGAAUGCGCAGAUAUCGGGAGGAACACCAAUGGCGAAGGCAGCUUGCUGGGACGGUACUGACGCUGAGACGCGAAAGCGUGGGGAGCGAACAGG